CAGCCGUAAACAAUGUGCGUUAGGUGUGUCGGUAACCACGCGUUACUGAUGCGCCGAAGAGAAAUCGUGAAACGCACCACCUGGGAAGUACGGUCGCAAGGCUGAAACUUAAAGGAAUUGGCGGGGGAGCACAACAACGGGUGGAGCCUGCGGUUUAAUUGGACUCAACGCCGGACAACUCACCGGGGACGACAGCAAUAUGUAGGCCAGGCUGAAGACCUUGCCUGAAUCGCUGAGAGGUGGUGCAUGGCGUCAGUGACU
rnacentral:rRNA from 1 species